UACGUAGGGUGCGAGCGUUAAUCGGAAUUACUGGGCGUAAAGCGUGCGCAGGCGGUUAUGCAAGACAGAUGUGAAAUCCCCGGGCUUAACCUGGGAACUGCAUUUGUGACUGCAUAGCUGGAGUACGGCAGAGGGGGAUGGAAUUCCGCGUGUAGCAGUGAAAUGCGUAGAUAUGCGGAGGAACACCGAUGGCGAAGGCAGUCCCCUGGGCCUGUACUGACGCUCAUGCACGAAAGCGUGGGGAGCAAACAGG
rnacentral:rRNA from 1 species